rnacentral:ncRNA from 1 species
GCUUAGGGCGACCAAACGUUCAUAGCGACGUCGAUUUUUGAUCCUUUGAUGUCGGUUCUUUCUAUGAACGUGAGCCUCUUGGACGUCGUGAGACAGCUU